rnacentral:rRNA from 1 species
AUUGAACGCUGGCGGCAUGCUUUACACAUGCAAGUCGAACGGCAGCGCGGGCUUCGGCCUGGCGGCGAGUGGCGAACGGGUGAGUAAUACAUCGGAACGUGCCCAGUAGUGGGGGAUAGCUCGGCGAAAGCCGGAUUAAUACCGCAUACGACCUGAGGGUGAAAGCGGGGGAUCUUCGGACCUCGCGCUAUUGGAGCGGCCGAUGGCAGAUUAGCUAGUUGGUGGGGUAAAGGCCUACCAAGGCGACGAUCUGUAGCUGGUCUGAGAGGACGACCAGCCACACUGGGACUGAGACACGGCCCAGACUCCUACGGGAGGCAGCAGUGGGGAAUUUUGGACAAUGGGCGAAAGCCUGAUCCAGCAAUGCCGCGUGUGUGAUGAAGGCCUUCGGGUUGUAAAGCACUUUUGGCGGGAACGAAAAGGACUGUGCCAAUACCACGGUUCGAUGACGGUACCCGCAGAAUAAGCACCGGCUAACUAUGUG